rnacentral:rRNA from 1 species
GCCCCGAGAUGAGUUCUCCCUGAGACUUUAGGUCUCCUGAAGGAACGUUGAAGACGACGACGUUGAUAGGCCGGGUGUGUAAGCGCAGCGAUGCGUUGAGCUAACCGGUACUAAUGAACCGUGAGGCUUAACCUUACAACGCCGAAG